UAAGAAUGCAAGGAACAAAAGGGAACUUCCUAAAACUGAUUAAGGACGUCUAUGAAACAUCUACAGUUUACACCAUACUUAGUGGUGCAACACUGAAUGAUCUCUUCUCAAGAUCAAUUUCAAAAUAAGGAUAUUGUUCUCACUACUUUUAUUUCUCAUUGAACGGGAGGUUCAGGCAAGGAAAAGAAUAAAAGCAUUGGAAAGGAAAAGAUAGAAGUGCUUCCGCUGGCACACAGAAUGAUUAUUUGUGUAGAAAAUCUGAUGACAUCUACAAAAAAAGUUACUAGAAGAAACAAAUAAGUUUAUCAAGGUUUCAGAAUAUAAGGUGAAUAUUUAAAAGUCUAUUAUAUUUCUCCAUACUAGCAAUAAACAGUUGGAAAUUAAAAUUAUCAAUGAUAAUUCCCAUGUACAGUAGCGUCGAAACUAUGAAGUAUAUAUGGUAAGCUAACAAAAUAUGUAAAAAUAUCUGUAAGAGAAAACUGCAAAACAUUGCUCAGAGAAAUUUUAAAAUACCUAAAUAAAUGCAGAGACAUACUUUAUUCAAGAGUCAGAAAAAUCAAUAUUUUUAAGGUUUCAAUUCUGCCCAAAUCGAUUUGUAGAUUCAAUGUAAUCACAAUCAGAAUUCCAAAAGAGUUUUUGUAGAAAUUAGUGAGCCAAUUCAAAAAUCAAUAUGGAAAAUAUAGUGACAUAGCUCAGCCAAUGUAACUUUGCAAAAGAAAAAUAAAUUUGAAGGACUGUCACUGCAUGAUUUUAAGAUUUAUUAUAAAACUACAGUAUUCAAAAUAAUGUGGUGGUGGUGUAUAAAUACGCAAAUACAAAAAUACAACAAUCAGUGGAAUAAAAUAGAGAGUUUAGAAAUAAUCCCAUGAAUAUACAGACAACUGAUUGGUGAUAAAGGUGCAAAAGCAAUUUAGUAAAGAAAAAUAGUCUUUUCGACAAAUUUACAUUUGUCGAAUUAAUCCCAAAUAAAUCAUAGACCUCAGUAUAAAACCUGAAGCUAUAAAAUGUCUAGAAAAAAAUAAAGGAGAAAAUUUUUGUGACCUUGAGUUAGUCAAUGAGUUCUUACAAACCACAGCAGAAUAAUAAAAAUGGACUUCAUUAAAAUAAAAAACUUCUGCUUUAUGAGUAUAUUGUUCAAAGAAUGAAAAGACAGGCUGGGCGGUGGCUCACACCUGUAAUCCUAGUACUUCGGGAGGCCAAGGCAGGCAGAUCACUUGAGGUCAGGAGUUCAAAACCAGCCUGGCCAACAUGGUGAAACCCCAUC
rnacentral:lncRNA from 10 species